rnacentral:rRNA from 1 species
CAAUAGCGUAUAUUAAAGUUGUUGCGGUUAAAAAGCUCGUAGUUGGAUUUCUGUUGAGGACGACCGGUCCGCCCUCUGGGUGAGUAUCUGGCUCGGCCUUGGCAUCUUCUUGGAGAACGUAACUGCACUUGACUGUGUGGUGCGGUAUCCAGGACUUUUACUUUGAGGAAAUUAGAGUGUUUCAAGCAGGCGUACGCCUUGAAUACAUUAGCAUGGAAUAAUGAGAUAGGACCUUGGUUCUAUUUUGUGGUUUUCUAGAGCUGAGGUAAUGAUUAAUAGGGAUAUUGGGGGCAUUCGUAUUUAAUUGUCAGAGGUGAAAUUCUUGGAUUUAUUAAAGACGGACUACUGCGAAAAGCAUUUUGCCAAGGAUGUUUUCAUUGAUCAAGAACGAAAGUUAGGGGUAUCGAAGAU